GGGUUGUGAGGUUAAGCGACUAAGCGUACACGGUGGAUGCCCUGGCAGUCAGAGGCGAUGAAGGGCGUACUAAUCUGCGAUAAGCGCCGGUAAGGUGAUAUGAACCGUUAUAACCGGCGAUACCCGAAUGGGGAAACCCAGUGUGAUUCGUCACACUAUCAUUAACUGAAUCCAUAGGUUAAUGAGGCGAACCGGGGGAACUGAAACAUCUAAGUACCCCGAGGAAAAGAAAUCAACCGAGAUUCCCCCAGUAGCGGCGAGCGAACGGGGAGGAGCCCAGAGCCUGAAUCAGCAUGUGUGUUAGUGGAAGCGUCUGGAAAGGCGCGCGAUACAGGGUGACAGCCCCGUACACAAAAGCGCAUGUGCUGUGAGCUCGAUGAGUAGGGCGGGACACGUGGUAUCCUGUCUGAAUAUGGGGGGACCAUCCUCCAAGGCUAAAUACUCCUGACUGACCGAUAGUGAACCAGUACCGUGAGGGAAAGGCGAAAAGAACCCCGGCGAGGGGAGUGAAAAAGAACCUGAAACCGUGUACGUACAAGCAGUGGGAGCACAGGUUUACCUGUGUGACUGCGUACCUUUUGUAUAAUGGGUCAGCGACUUAUAUUCUG
rnacentral:rRNA from 1 species